AGCGAACGCUGGCGGCAGGCUUAACACAUGCAAGUCGAACGCCCCGCAAGGGGAGUGGCAGACGGGUGAGUAACACGUGGGAACGUACCCUUUGGUUCGGAAUAACUUGGGGAAACUCAAGCUAAUACCGGAUAAGCCCUUAUGGGGAAAGGUUUACUGCCGAAGGAUCGGCCCGCGUCUGAUUAGCUAGUUGGUGAGGUAAUGGCUCACCAAGGCGACGAUCAGUAGCUGGUCUGAGAGGAUGAUCAGCCACACUGGGACUGAGACACGGCCCAGACUCCUACGGGAGGCAGCAGUGGGGAAUAUUGGACAAUGGGGGCAACCCUGAUCCAGCCAUGCCGCGUGAGUGAUGAAGGCCUUAGGGUUGUAAUGCUCUUUUACCCGGGACGAUAAUGACUGUACCGGGAGAAUAAGCCCCGGCUAACCUCGUGCCAGCAGCCGCAGUAA
rnacentral:rRNA from 1 species